rnacentral:rRNA from 1 species
UUGGUGUAGGUAACUGCUCACCAAGCCGACGAUGGAUAGGGGAACUGAGAGGUUGGUCCCCCACACUGGUACUGAGACACGGACCAGACUCUUACGGGAGGCAGCAGUGAGGAAUCUUGGUCAAUGGACGCAAGUCUGAACCAGCCAUGUCGCGUGAAGGAGGACGGCCCUAAGGGUUGUAAACUUCUUUUGCAGUGGAAUAAAGUUUGCCACGUGUUGGCGAUUUGCAAGUACGCUGCGAAUAAGGAUCGGCUAACUCCGUGCCAGCAGCCGCGGUAAUACGGAGGAUCCGGGCGUUAUCCGGAUUUAUUGGGUUUAAAGGGUGCGCAGGCGGGGAAUUAGGUCGGCGGUGAAAUUUCGGGGCUCAACCUCGACAGUGCCGUUGAAACCGUUUCUCUUGAGUGCGGAUGAGGUAGGCGGAAUUUGUGGUGUAGCGGUGAAAUGCGUAGAUAUCACAAGGAACACCGAUUGCGGAGGCAGCUUACUAAACCGUUACUGACGCUCAUGCACGAAGGCGUGGGGAUCAAACAGGAUUAGAUACCCUGGUAGUCCACGCAGUAAACGAUGAUUACUUGCUGUUUGCGAUACACAGUAAGC